GAUGAACGCUGGCGGCGUGCCUAAUACAUGCAAGUCGAGCGAACAGACGAGGAGCUUGCUCCUCUGACGUUAGCGGCGGACGGGUGAGUAACACGUGGAUACCCUACCUAUAAGACUGGGAUAACUUCGGGAAACCGGAGCUAAUACCGGAUAAUAUAUUGAACCGCAUGGUUCAAUAGUGAAAGACGGUUUUGCUGUCACUUAUAGAUGGAUCCGCGCCGCAUUAGCUAGUUGGUAAGGUAACGGCUUACCAAGGCAACGAUGCGUAGCCGACCUGAGAGGGUGAUCGGCCACACUGGAACUGAGACACGGUCCAGACUCCUACGGGAGGCAGCAGUAGGGAAUCUUCCGCAAUGGGCGAAAGCCUGACGGAGCAACGCCGCGUGAGUGAUGAAGGUCUUCGGAUCGUAAAACUCUGUUAUUAGGGAAGAACAAAUGUGUAAUUAACUAUGCACGUCUUGACGGUACCUAAUCAGAAAGCCACGGCUAACUACGUG
rnacentral:rRNA from 1 species